CUUGCCCCAAACAUAAGAGGUCCAGCCUGCCCAGUGACUAUUGUUCAACGGCCGCGGUAUCCUAACCGUGCGAAGGUAGCGUAAUCACUUGUUCUUUAAAUGAGGACUAGUAUGAAUGGCAUCACGAGGGUUAUACUGUCUCCUCUCUCUAAUCAGUGAAACUAAUCUCCCCGUGAAGAAGCGGGGAUAAAAUUAUAAGACGAGAAGACCCUAUGGAGCUUUAAGUAAAUCUUCAAACGCUUGUAUACCCUAACAGUCAUAGACCCUUAAAAUUAACUUUAGCGCCAUGAAGAUGAACUUUAGGUUGGGGUGACCACGGAGUACAAAAAAACCUCUACGCUGAACAAGCCUCAAAGCCUUGAGUAAAGGACCACAACCCGACACACUAAUAAACUAACACCCAUUGACCCAAUAAUCCUUUGAUCAACGAAC
rnacentral:rRNA from 1 species